GUAGGUUCUACCCAUGUAACAGAUGAGGAAACCAAGGAGCACAGUUAUUUACUAACUCGCACAAGGUUCGAGGCCGAGCUCAGACCUGUGGAGCAGAAGCUGAGUGCGCUGCGGUCCCUGCUGGCCCAGAGGCCCUUCUUCGAGGUGCCCUCACCCCUGGGCGCCGUGGACCUGUACGAGUAUGCAUGCGGGGAUGAGGACCUGGAGCCACUGUGACGGCACCCAUGAGAACACCGCCGC
rnacentral:lncRNA from 1 species